AUUGAACGCUGGCGGCAUGCCUUACACAUGCAGGUCGAACGGCAGCACGGGGCAACCUGGUGGCGAGUGGCGAACGGGUGAGUAAUGCAUCGGAACGUACCUUUCAGUGGGGGAUAACGUAGCGAAAGUUACGCUAAUACCGCAUAUUCUGUGAGCAGGAAAGCAGGGGAUCGCAAGACCUUGCGCUGAUUGAGCGGCCGAUGUCAGAUUAGCUAGUUGGUGAGGUAAAGGCUCACCAAGGCGACGAUCUGUAGCGGGUCUGAGAGGAUGAUCCGCCACACUGGAACUGAGACACGGUCCAGACUCCGACGGGAGGCAGCAGUGGGGAAUUUUGGACAAUGGGGGCAACCCUGAUCCAGCCAUGCCGCGUGAGUGAAGAAGGCCUUCGGGUUGUAAAGCUCUUUCGGCCGGGAAGAAAUCGCACGGGCUAAUACCCUGUGUGGAUGACGGUACCGGAAUAAGAAGCACCGGCUAACUACGUGCCAGCCGCCGCAGUAAGAC
rnacentral:rRNA from 1 species